rfam:Oryza glaberrima chromosome 2 Oglab02_0295_1, whole genome shotgun sequence.
AAUAAGUGCAGUUUUGCACUAUUUAUGUUCAACGUUUGACCGUUCGUCUUAUUUGAAAUUUUUUUAUGAUUAGUAUUUUUGUUGCUAUUAGAUGAUAAGACAUGAAUAGUACUUUAUGUGUGACUAAAUAUUUUUAAAUUUUUCAUAAUUUUUUUAAAAAGACGGACGGUCAAAUGUUAGUCACGGAUAUCUAUGGCUGCACUUAUU